rnacentral:snoRNA from 1 species
UCCUCCUACAAAGGCGCACUUGCAUUGGUCUGCUUGCCUGUGCGUAAGAACUGGAGGUAAAUUAAAAUGAAUGGUGACUUACUUAUUGCUGGCUGCAUGUGCAGUUAGCCCUUCACCAAUC